rnacentral:rRNA from 1 species
AUGACAUGUGGGGAUCCUCCUUUCCUAGCAGGCCCAUCUCUGCUGUGUCUGUUUGUGUGUGCCUCUUGGGUGAGAGAAGAGGGAGACGUGGGGUGGAUCGUGGUGGCGCCGCCUGCGCUUUCUCCUCCCUGCUCUCCACUAGGCCGCCUCCUACCCUUCACUUUUCUCUCCGGCGACGGCGACGGCGACGACCUGCAGACAAAAGGAGAAGGCGGUGACGGCGGGAGAGAGAAGAUGAGAGGGAGAGAGAAAAGGAAGGAGAGGAGGGAGAAAGAGAGAGGAAAGAGGAGAGGCCUUGGUGGUCCAGGGAGGCGUAUACGUAGAUGGCAGCCUCCGCCCUGA